GGUGUAGGCUUGGAAAAACUACAGCCAGAGGUAAGGCUGGAAAUUCCAUAAGAGUUAAGGGUGCUGAAAAUGGAUGCUGGAUAGUCCAGCAUGAAAGAUGGCAUACCGCUUUAGGUUUGAAAUAGGGGGAAAUACAUGUGAAUAUUUAUACAUGAAGGCCAUUGGGGAGGGCUGAGUCUUGGCCUGAGUAUCUGUGCAGCCGGCGCCUCGGUUCCUGCCCAGCUGGAUUUGGGGGGCAGCAUUGCCUGGCGCAGGGAGAUCAAAUGAGACUGCAAAGAAGCAUAAAAUGAAUAGACAAUCCAACCAACCAAAGGAAAUUGCUUUGGAGAUGAGGAAACAAACUCUUAUGGAGACCUAAGAGACUGAAGACAUCUGGCGUGGACUACUCUGAUGGUAAAAUUGAAAGUACACCUAAAUUUGCUUUGUUACAGGAUUCUCUUCAGAGGACAAGAGAAGAUGUUACAUUCUCUGCAUGAGGACAAUUCUGCAGCAUCAAAAUCGAAUAAUAUUUGUUUUCUGGCAGCAGAAUUUUGUAUCAUAUUUCUAAAGACAGUAAGCACUUGGGUGGACGUCAAUGAAUACUAAACACUAAUUGAUCUGAUACAGCCGUAUGCACAUACACAGAUAUACAUGGUGGCUUGUAAUGGUUGAAAAAUUACGGUUUGGUUUUAUUAAAAGAUCUGUCACUUUUAGGUCAGAGUGGGAUUUUGGAGGGAUAGUCUCCCACAAUAGAAAACUACCCUGACAACAGUGGUGUUUUGAGGUUGUUUGUUGUUUGGCUUCUUGAUGAUGCUUAGCUAAGGAGACACUUCCUUUCAGAUUCUGUCUUCCAAACCCCAGGGCUCUGUUCUGGGCAGUUCAGCCUAAUGGAAUUAAGCCUGACAUGUUUCAACUCUAUUUCUUGAUAAAAUAAACAUAAAACAAUGGUUUAGA
ensembl:lncRNA MIR9-2HG MIR9-2 host gene